UCUCCUGGAAAACGGGUGGUAAUGCCGGAUGCUCCAACUUUUCGCAUGGUUUUUUGGGAAAGCUUUCGCGGUAUGGGAUGGGGUCGCGUCCUAUCAGCUUGACGGCGGGGUAACGGCCCACCGUGGCUUCGACGGGUAGCCGGCCUGAGAGGGCGACCGGCCACAUUGGGACUGAGAUACGGCCCAGACUCCUACGGGAGGCAGCAGUGGGGAAUAUUGCACAAUGGGCGCAAGCCUGAUGCAGCGACGCCGCGUGAGGGAUGGAGGCCUUCGGGUUGUAAACCUCUUUUAUCGGGGAGCAAGCGAGAGUGAGUUUACCCGUUGAAUAAGCACCGGCUAACUACGUGCCAGCAGCCGCGGUAAUACGUAGGGUGCAAGCGUUAUCCGGAAUUAUUGGGCGUAAAGGGCUCGUAGGCGGUUCGUCGCGUCCGGUGUGAAAGUCCAUCGCUUAACGGUGGAUCCGCGCCGGGUACGGGCGGGCUUGAGUGCGGUAGGGGAGACUGGAAUUCCCGGUGUAACGGUGGAAUGUGUAGAUAUCGGGAAGAACACCACA
rnacentral:rRNA from 1 species